rnacentral:rRNA from 1 species
GUAGGUGGCAAGCGUUGUCCCGGAAUUAUUGGGCGUAAAGCGCGCGCAGGGCGGUCCUUUAAGUCUGAUGUGAAAGCCCACGGCUCAACCGUGGAGGGUCAUUGGAAACUGGGGGGACUUGAGUACAGAAGAGGAAAGCGGAAUUCCAAGUGUAGCGGUGAAAUGCGUAGAGAUUUGGAGGAACACCAGUGGCGAAGGCGGCUUUCUGGUCUGUAACUGACGCUGAGGCGCGAAAGCGUGGGGAGCAAACAGGAUUAGAUACCCUGGUAGUCCACGCCGUAAACGAUGAGUGCUAAGUGUUAGGGGGUUUCCGCCCCUUAGUGCUGCAGCUAACGCAUUAAGCACUCCGCCUGGGGAGUACGGCCGCAAGGCUG